CCGGCGGCAGCCACGGGCAAGGCCAAGACCGGGCCGCCGCCGCUGGUGCAGCUGGACAGAGACUCGAGCCUGUUUUACGCCUCGCGGGUGCUCAUCGACGGCGUUAUCCGCCCCCGUGACACCAGGAAGAUUCUGGAGACGAGCCUGGACGUGGUGACAUGGAACAUCACCCUGGAGGAGCGGCGCCACCCCGUGAUCCGGAUGUGAGCUGUGCUGAGAGCUGGGCAGUCGUUCCGUGGCGGACGGAUGGCCAGUCCCCCACGGGACCAGCGGAGAGGCCGCUGGCCGUGUGACCCACAGCCGCCGCUGGUCAUCGCAGAUGUGACCGGUCCUAGGCAGGGCUCGUAGCUCGUAGCGUCGGUACAAUUUUUACGCAGUCGGCGGUUCAUCGCCGAUUGUUUUUCAUGGUGUUUCCGCGGAGUGAUUUUGGGCUCUUGCCCGCGCGUUGUUUUCUGUCGCCCUGUAGCCACGAACUCAAGGUGUGUUGUGGACUUGCGGCAUGAGAUGACUUGCAUCAUGUAGAACGAGGGGACUUACUACGCGCAGCAUAAGGGGACUGUUACAACACGCAGCAUGAGAUGACUGUUACAACUUGCAGCAGGUUACUGAUACGACUUCCAGCACGAGGGAAAAUUUACAUUGACCCCGCCCUCAGCGUAUGUUAAAGUGUGUUCAUAAGUGUAACGUUAUGAAGCCAUGUGGUAUAAUGUAUCUGUGGAGAUGCCUAUCCAUCGACAUACACUUCAGGGGUGAUGCCAGGAACUUCGCUUUCUGUCGAGUGCCACACUUGAAAUUGAUCAACAAGUAAUUCCAUAUGUUUUGAUUGGUAAGAUACAAUAUACCAAAGCCACCAA